rnacentral:rasiRNA from 1 species
AGCGAAAUGACUCUGGCCCAGUUU